UACGUAGGGGGCAAGCGUUGUCCGGAUUUAUUGGGCGUAAAGAGCGUGUAGGCGGCCAGACAGGUCAGCUGUGAAAACUCGAGGCUCAACCUCGAGACGUCGGUUGAAACCGUCUGGCUAGAGUCCGGAAGAGGAGAGUGGAAUUCCCGGUGUAGCGGUGAAAUGCGCAGAUAUCGGGAAGAACACCCGUGGCGAAGGCGUCUCUCUGGGACGGUACUGACGCUGAGACGCGAAAGCGUGGGGAGCGAACAGG
rnacentral:rRNA from 1 species